CAGUCAGAGGAUACUUCGCAUGGAACGUUCCCGUCUUCUAACAAGUAUGAACAAGAAGCAAGUAAACCUGUUGAUAAGACGUCUUGCACAAAACCAUGAGGCUACUCGUAAAAACCAAUUGCAGAAAAAGGCCUAUGUUCAGCAUCUAGAAUCUAGUAGAUUGAAGUUAGUUCAGUUAGAGCAGGAGCUUGAGUGAGCUAUACAACAGGGUUUGUAUGUAGGUGGUGGAGUAGAAGGUUGUCAGUUGGGUUCUCUGGACCUGUAAAUUCAGGUUUGUCAAAAUAUUGCUGAAUAACUUCUAGUUUUGAAGUCCUCACUCACAAACAUUUCUAUUUCUGGAAAUUGCAUGUCUCCAAUUUCGGUGAUUUGGUAUCUGACUCCUGGAACCUAGACUGUACUAUUGAUCAUAAUAUUGUUUUUGGAAUUUUGGUACUACUAGCUUACCACCACCAAUCAUUGUAUGCUCUUGCUAUUUAAUGUUUUAAUCAUGUUCCCUUCAAAGCAUGAUUCCCCCAAUAUGUUCAUAGUUUGAUUUCCUAAAUCGUUGUUUUAAUUUUCCGCCAUCCAUCAUUUCAAGUGCUUGUAAAGAUUACGUAAGAAAGACUACAUACCUUGUUCAUCCACACUGAUGUCAUUUCAAUGCUGUCUAUAAAUCAAAUGUCUCGAAAAUGUUAAUGGCAAAAGAUUCCAGCUGUCCAUAAGCACAAGUUUCCAAUGCUUUGCAAACUUGACACCACCAUGAAAAUUGAUGUUGUGUUAUGAAGCUAUGUAUAUAGUCUCUGAUGCGUUGAAUGUGUUCUUUGUGAUUUGAUUUCCAGUAGUUCCUGUUGCUUAUAGAAUACUUCUUUUUGUCAUUCCAUGUUCUUGCAUUCAACAAAAAGUCUGUAUCGAGGUUUGUGCAGGAAUUGCUACAGUUGAGAUGGAGUAUGGACAUUGGGUUCAAGAGCAAAAUAGGCAAAUUCAUGAACUGAGGUCUGCAUUGGAGGGUGGCAUGAGCCACUAUUUUGAACUCUUCCGCAUGAAAUAUGCUGUUGCAAAAGCCGAUAUUUUCUAUGUAAUGUCCGGCAUGUGGAAGACAACAGCUGAAUGUUUUUUCUUUUGGGUUAGAUGAUUUCACCCUUCUGAGCUUCUCAAGCAUGCAGAAGAUGCUCUGUCUCAAGGCAUGGAGAAAUUGUAAUCAACUCUUGCUGAAACUGUAGCUGCUGGUUAACUGGUAAAAGAUUAUAUCCCACAGAUACCUACUGCAUCAUUGCGCAAUCAAGCUGACCAUCUUCGCCAGGAAACGCUAUAGCAGAUGUCUUGUAUCCUGACAAGUCGCCAAGCAGCUGGAGGCUUGUUCGCGUUGGAGGAGUACUUCCAACAACUUAGAGCUUUGAGUUCUAUUUGGGCUACUCGUCCUCGUGAGCCUGCCUAAUUUUAAACUGGAAAAAAUCUACAAGUGCAAAAAUCUCUGGAAGAUCAUCAUUCAUCACCAUCCAAACUUUGUUUCCCCCAUCAGAGGUACGUAUGGACAUUGUUGUUAUAAACAUAAUCUGCAUACUUUAAGCUGUUGACAUUUUUGAAGCAGCCACACGCACAUGUCCUGAGAAAUUGUAAAUAUAAAUAGUCUUUUUACCGAAGAGGAAGUUACGUUUGUAAUUAAAUCAAUUUUCGAUGCAUGAUGUACAUUUUAUCAUCUUUUAAAGAAUAUAUUUAGGGGUACAGUUGCAAUGUCGUCAUGUAAAUCUUUACAAGACGACAGUCUUUGUAUUUCGAAUGUUUGUUACAUAAAUUGUGUAUUUCAUAAAGUA